UACGUAGGGAGCAAGCGUUGUCCGGAAUCAUUGGGCGUAAAGCGCGCGUAGGCGGCCCCGUAAGUCCGCUGUGAAAGUCAAAGGCUCAACCUUUGAAAGCCGGUGGAUACUGUGGGGCUAGAGUCCGGAAGAGGCGAGUGGAAUUCCUGGUGUAGCGGUGGAAUGCGCAGAUAUCAGGAGGAACACCGGUGGCGAAGGCGGGUCUCUGGGCCGAUACUGACGCUGAGGAGCGAAAGCGUGGGGUGCGAACAGG
rnacentral:rRNA from 1 species